GUCUAGAUCAGGGGUGGGCAAACUUUUUGGCUCGGGGGCCGCAUUGACUUUUAAAAUUUGACAGAAGGGCCAGGUCAGCACAAGCUAUGGUACAUUAAAAAAACUGCAUUUGUUGACAGUCCAUAUCAAACAUCAACAGAACAAAAGCAUGAAAGUACUGUAUUAAUAUACUUUUUUAAAAUGACAACAAUGUUGUUGAUGACCUAUUUUAGCCUGUGCAUUGCUGCAGAUGGGUUGUGAUCAGACCAGUAGAAGUAGAGCGAUACAGAGGUCCUAGGUGGUCGAAAAGAUCCCCCCGUGUUCUGCAACUUACAGUCAAUGCGCCAUCUGGUGGUGAAAUGCGUGUCAUUACAAGUCCAAUGCAAAUGAAUGCAAUCAUUCACAUCGAACCUUAAUUACUAAAGAUAAGAUAUCCUUUAUUCGUCCCACAAUGGGGAAAUUUACAGCCUCCA